CCCCACAGAGCCCGGCGCAGCCUGACAGCCGUGCGGGGCGCUGUGUGGGUGUAGGCAGUGCUUUGAGGUGCUGCGUGGUGACUUUGGCAAUUAAUAACGCUAAAUAAAGACAAACGCUGGACACAGUGCCCAUCCAGCUACGGCGUCCUACCGCCUCGUCACCACAACACGGCGGUUCUCGGGUGCCUCCACGCUCAGGCAGGGAAAAGGGCAGCAGAAAUCUGUGAGGCAGCUUUUAUCUAAAGUCGAAGCACAGAGCAACCUCCUGGAGUCAGCGUGAACGGAGGAGACGCGGAUUUAACGUGGAUUGGGGCUGACAGGCAGCCAAACCUGGGCGAGGGCACUGCCGUAAGGGCUCCUGCCAAGCAGCCAGCAGUGGCAGUCAGUGCGGGGUCUUCGCGUUCACUCCUGUGAGAGGCACCGCACAAGGAAGGAUAUUCAACAUGUUUUAUAUAAAGACCACAUCAGAACAAACAAAUAUCCAUCGGUUAUGACCUAAGCGUUCAAAACCGACAUUCUUAUUUUGCCAUUCCCCGCGGCCGUCUGUUGGAAACUCAUUUAUCAGCUGUGAUUCGUUUGAUUUCUCAACCUCACAGUUUUCCACCAGACUCAGAUCCACACCAGGUUUUAUAACGAGAAAAAAAAAUUAAUCAACACGAAAGCACAACAAAUGCACACCACUUCAUUCUGCGCAGUGCUUUCAUGUUCCAUUCAGAACUUCUGCGAGCAGAGAUCUCCAGUUCAUUGAAUUCCUUAGAACUAAAUCACAACGCAGCUGUAAGGGACUGCUGCACCUCACAGAGUUAACAGAAAAUCUUUGGAGUGUUUUGUCUGCUAAGUUCAAAGAGAUCAGGGCAAGAGACACACGACUUCACCGCUGAUUUAUCUUGGGUCAGUGGGAAUAAUAUUCAUCCCUAAUAUCCAUCCUAACAGCACACGGCUGUGUAUCAUCUCAGGAAACAGAUACAGGAAGUACAAACCCUGAGGUGUUAAGCUUCUACAAAGUGCUUGUUUUAAUUUUCCAAAGAAUGAACAAACAACGACAACAGAAGAGAUAAUGCACAUGGUCCUCUACAACUGUAAAGUUUCAGACCGUCAGGGAUGCUGACAAAAUCUUUUUUGCUCUCAGAAGAAUAUUUAAUAUUUAAUAUGAAACAUGAAUAUUUAAUAUUCCAAGCCAACAACUGAAGGAGCAAUAAAUAGCUAUGUGAUCUGUCCAGAAUUCAAGAAUCUACCUUGACAAACAGCAUGUGUUUGAAGCAUUCCUCUCUCUUCAUACAGUAUCAUUCUGAUGUGCUUCUGCUGAUAAGCCUCCCUGUCUGUCUGAGACAAAAGCUGCUUUUGAAGCACCUGUUACCACACUGUAGCCACAAUGUUUGUAGUCACAAGAGAAAUAAAAAGUUUGCUUCCCA